CCCUACGGGGUGCAGCAGGCGCGAAAACUUUACAAUGCUGGGAACAGCGAUAAGGGAACCUCGAGUGCCAGGUUACAAAUCUGGCUGUCGUGAUGCCUAAAAAGCAUUAUAUAGCAAGGGCCGGGCAAGACCGGUGCCAGCCGCCGCGGUAACACCGGCGGCUCGAGUGGUAACCGUUAUUAUUGGGUCUAAAGGGUCUGUAGCCGGCCGGAUAAGUCUCUUGGGAAAUCUGGCAGCUCAACUGUCAGGCUUUCAGGGGAUACUGUCUGGCUCGAGGCCGGGAGAGGUGAGAGGUACUUCAGGGGUAGGGGUGAAAUCUUGUAAUCCUUGAAGGACCACCAGUGGCGAAGGCGUCUCACCAGAACGGACCUGACGGCAAGGGACGAAAGCUAGGGGCACGAACCGGAUUAGAUACCCGGGUAGUCCUAGCCGUAAACGAUACUCGCUAGGUGUCGGCCACGGUGCGACCGUUGUCGGUGCCGUAGGGAAGCCGUGAAGCGAGCCACCUGGGAAGUACGGCCGCAAGGCUGAAACUUAAAGGAAUUGGCGGGGGAGCACCACAACGGGUGGAGCUUGCGGUUUAAUUGGAUUCAACGCCGGAAAUCUUACC
rnacentral:rRNA from 1 species